ensembl:processed_transcript
AUGGUCCUCCAGAAUGGUUUGGUAGUCCUGAUGCGCCAAAUUUAGCCAUGAAACGUCCAAUACCAAAUUGGCAAGUGUUUCAGUUUAAAAUAUACAGAAUCCCUACUUGGUGUCUGACAAGUAUAUUGUGGUAUUAGUACUAAAUGCUGCUUUGUUUUGUCUCAUCACACUCUGCCAAUGCUAUCAUUCCAUUCCCCAACCCCCCUUCGAUGGCAUCAGGUUUUUCCAGCAGGAUAUUUUGUUGCUUUCAAAUCUUUUAAAGAAACCAGCAGUAUGCGAGUUCGUCCGUCUGUCCGUUGGUUUGAGUGUGUUUGUUUCGUGCACCUGCUGCUGAGCCCAGUCGGCAUUCUGCAGAGAAGUUUCGGCAACAAGACUGAGAGAUUGCUGUGGAAUCUUCACCAAAGAUGUCAAUUUAUUUUCCUUUGGAAG